AAAAAUUACAUUUUUAAAGAGAAACAAAUUCAGAUUACGUGCAAAAUCCCAAAUCCAUUACGCAACUCAGAGCCCACUCUGCGCUCCCCAUCAAACCCAAACCUAAACCAGAGUUAUAAAAAGGAUCUUUCUUAUCUUUUCCAUUUUCCAUUACAAAAUUCGACAGCUUCAUCUCUGCUCAAUACAUUCUCGUUCUUCUCCCUGUUUCUCUCUCUAGGGCGCCUCGUAGUAGACUCCCUCGCGCCACUGCUCGGAGCUCCGUCGUCAUCGGCUUCACCAGAACUCUCGAUCUGCUGCCCGAAGGAGAAGAAGUACGGGGCGCUUCUCUCUGUGUUUGCCGCUCUAAACCGCCGCCUCGUCGAAUCGCUGCACACCUAUCCUUCUUAUAUUCACACCGAUUUGAAGACUUAGCAGGUAAUCUUUCGUUUACAUUUCCGAUUUCUGCUCAUAUUUGGAUUUAUCUAGUUUUUGGUUUAUCAUCGGUUGUCAAAAUGAACAUAUGGGACAUUAUAAGCUUUCAGUUAAAUACGUAGUUGUCAGCUUUUAGUUUAAUAUGUGGACUGGUUUCACAUUAUAAUGGUACCGAGUCUUUAGGGAAUUUUGGGUUUUUGUACGUGAAUUUCUUCUUGAUCUUAAUCACGAAAUGAAAAGGACUUCGUUGCCCUCUAUAUAUUUGUUGAGAAGCCAUAGUCUCAAGUAAGAUUGGAAGGAUAUCUUCUAGCUCUCCAUAAAACAAUAUGGACUGGUUUCAUUGGAUUGACAGAACGGGUAAUCAGUUGUUGGCUCUGUUGUAUAUCAUUUAGCUGUAAGAAUAUAUCUUUCUAUUGGAUUAUUUUUGCAUGAAAAUGACUUCAGUUGAGAUGCUAGUAGUCUGGGCAUGCACCUGAAAUAUUAAGUGAAGUGCCAUGGUAGUUUCCCAAGGAUAUUUUUGUUACGCUUUAUGAAUGUUAUUAAUUUUCAAUUGGAAGCUUGAUCUGCUGACAUUAUUUCCAUUUAUUGAGGGUACUGAAUAUGUUCGGACGUGAAAAUAAGAUUUCUUUUAUUUAGCGUAUCGAGGCACAAUAGUUGUGAGCCUGGAGGUGAUACUUGGUCGGAGCGGUUUUUAAUAGCUCAUGAUGAUUGUGCAGUUGAAACAAUGUAGGUCUGUUUUACACUGGAUACGUUAAAUAUGGAUGGUAAGUUUUCUGUUUCAUUUAUUAUGAUUUGAACUUAUUGCAAGGUUUAUUCUUACUAUCUACUAACACUGAUAUCUCUUGUAUCAAUUUAUUAUGGAUUUGGGGCCUACUUUGAAGCUUAUAGAACAUGAACUUGAAAAAGGGUAUACUAUACCAUAUAUGUACUAACGCAUGGAUUUAAAAAAUACUUAUUUCAUUUUUUUUGUCUGAACUUUCACAAACAAGCAUGCAUUGCAUAAAACACUUUUUCCUGUUUGCUUUUAUAUCCAGUAUAUGGUCAUAGUUAUAUCCUAGUGUUAUCAGAAUCAAGAUUUGCAAUGGAGUUUUCUAGAGAAAGUCAUGUGUAGGAGUUGAGGCCCGCUUGUAUCGAAAUAUUAUUGUUUACCUAUAUGUAUUGGGUAAGUAAUAAUGAUAGUGAAUAAUACUCUUUUCCANNN
rnacentral:lncRNA from 1 species